rnacentral:rRNA from 1 species
UACGUAGGGAGCGAGCGUUGUCCGGAAUCAUUGGGCGUAAAGAGCAUGUAGGUGGAUCAAUUAGUCUGCUGUGAAAGUCAAAGGCUCAACCUUUGAAAGCCGGUGGAUACUGUUGGUCUAGAGUACGGAAGAGGCGAGUGGAAUUCCUGGUGUAGCGGUGGAAUGCGCAGAUAUCAGGGGGAACACCAAUAGCGAAGGCAGCUCGCUGGGACGUUACUGACACUGAGAUGCGAAAGCGUGGGGAGCAAACAGG